AUGCCCAGGGAAGACAUAGCGACCUGGAAGUCCAACUACUUCCUUAAGAUCAUCCAACUUUUGGAUGACUAUCCAAAAUGCUUCACUGUGGGCACAGACAAUGUGGGCUCCAAGCAGAUGUAGCAGAUCCGCAUGUCCCUCCGAGGGAAGGCCGUGGUGCUGAUGGGUGAGAACACCAUGAUGCUCGAGGCCAUCCGAGGGCAUCUGGAAAACAACCCAGUUCUGGAGAAACUGUUGCCUCAUAUCCGGGGAACGUAGGCUUUGUGUUCACCAAGGAGGACCUCACUGAGAUCCAGGACAUGCUGCUGGCCAACAGGAUGCCAGCUGCUGCCCGUGCUGGUGCCAUUGCCCCAUGCGAAGUCACUGUACCAGCCCAGAACACUGGUCUGGGGCCUGAGAAGACCACCUUCUUCCAGGUUUUAAGCAUCACCACUAAAAUCUCCAGAGGCACCAUUGAAAUCCUGAGUGAUGUGCAGUUAAUUAAGACUGGAGACAAAGUGCGAGCCAGUGAAGCCACACUGCUGAACUUGAUGAACCUCUCCCCCUUCUCCUUUGGGCUGAUCAUCCAGCAGGUCUAGUGCUUGACAUCACAGAGGACACUCUGCACUCUCGCUUCCUGGAGGGUGUCCGCCAUGUUGCCAGUGUUUGUCUGCAGAUUGGUUAUCCAACUGUUGCAUCAGUGCCCCAUUCUAUUAUCAAUGGGUACAAACGAGUCCUGGCUUUGUCUGUGGAGACUGAUGACACCUUCCCACCUGCUGAAAAGGUCAAGGCCUUCUUGGCUGAUCCAUCUGCCUUUGUGGCUGCUGCCCCUGUGGCCAAGGUUGAAGCCAAGGAAGAGUUGGAGGAGUCGUACAAGGAUAUGGGAUUUGGUCUCUUUGACUAAUCAGCAGAAAGCAAUCAACUCAGCCAGCUUUAUUUGCAAAACAAGAAAAUAAAGGCUACGUCU